GCUCCUACCGAUUGAAUGUUCCGGUGAAUCCUUCGGACCUAUUUCUAGAGGUGGGGAAACUCACUUUUAGAAGAUUGGGAAGUUGUGUAAACCUUAACAUUUAGAGGAAGGAGAAGUCGUAACAAGGUUUCC
rnacentral:rRNA from 1 species